UUGUGGGGCAUUUUGCUCAGCUCUGUAUGCGUUUUGUUUGUUUAUUUUUUAAUAGAUUUUUCUCCGAUCAGCUCAGAUAUGGUUUUGAGGACUAGGUUCACCGAAGACUAUGCUUUACUUUUUGAAACGAAUGGUUUUAAUGUUAUCUUGAGCAGACUUCUAGGUUCUCUCGUCAUAUCCAGUGUUUGUUCAUCUCACCUGCAGCAUUCAACGGUCAGGUUGUGAUCUGUCUGGACGUCCUGAAGGACAGUUGAAGUGCUGCGGUCUCCUCACAGACUGUAACCCUGGUAAGAGGCCGGUCUGAUAGAGGCGGUCAAGGGCUGGAGCUCCAGUGUUGCUCAGUAUGCUGGAGCUGCAGCUGUUUGACCGAGAAUACAGCAGAGCAGUUACAGGUGUGGGCAUCGAUACAGCCGCUUCGUGCUCGUGUAUGAAACUGCACACACUACUCCGUUCAUCUAGUCUCUGAACUGAUCGAGUGGUUCUGAACACAUGCUGUGCUUUUGAUUUACUGAAUAAAGACAAUAGUGACUGAGGCCAGACAGCUGCUGACAUCUCUCUACUGAUCCUGUGACGCUCCUGAUGAAACACUGACCCGCAGCCUAUAUUUGUGUGUACCUACAUAAGUGUAGCAUUCAACGGUCAGGUUGUGAUCUGUCUGGACGUCCUGAAGGACAGUUGAAGUGCUGCGGUCUCCUCACAGACUGUAACCCUGGUUUGCUGCUCGCCGAUCCAGACAUCAUUAUUGUGAACGCGGCGUUGGUUCAUAUUCUAAUGAGCCACAGAACUUAAAGGACUGAUUUCACAGACAGGACUUGGCCUAAGCCGGGAUUAAGCCGUAGUUCAACUCUGACAUUAAUUUUUAUUCGUCUGAAAAAAACGGUACUGUGUGCAUCUUAAGACAACAAAGGCAAUGACGUGUAAUAUCAGCCAGUGCAAGUUUCUUUCAGCAUAAGCUAUUUAGUCUAUAGCUUAAACCAAAAAAAACUUUCCUCGUGUGUUUAUCUAGUACUGAUCAGCUUGCUCUGUUAUUUGCUGGAAAUUACCACGGCUGCUACUUUCCUUCAGAAAAUGAAUGGUUUACCACACGAGUAACCAGACUGAAUGCUACUCUGUGGCUUGCUAAUAUUUUCCAUCCACCUUUCAGUAUGACAGGCAUCCAAACCACAACACUACUGUUAUGCAUGCUGUCUGUGAUCUUGUAUGACAAUAACUGUUGCUGCAGUAAGCGUGUAGGCAUGCGUGAUGAGUAUGUGUCCUGUAAUAUCAGGAAAAUUACACUGAACUUAGGUUUAAAAAAGGAACGUUUAUUUACUUGUAUCUGACCUCGGAUCCAGAUCAAUUUGCAUCUCUCGUCACCAUUUCUUUUCUAACCGAUAUUAAAGAACAAAAAUAAUUUAGGUGAAAUUUUAACAGAUUUUUAUUACCUUUUAAUACUUUUAUGUUUUCAGAGGCCUUGCCAAACUCAAUAUUUCAGAUCUGCUAAUGGAAAAAUCACGGUGCGCUUUACUUAAUGCUGGCACAAGGUGUAAAAAUAUUGCCUUAGUAAUGCUGUGGGGUAAUAAUACAUGACUUAUAUGUAUAUAAUUAUGAUACACCCAUACGUACAGUGAUGGGAUGGAAGGCUCUGCUGCUGCGAGACUGAAGGGAGAAAAUAUGAUUACAGGCAGUAACGUUUUCUAAUGACGAAUUUAAUCCUGACGUUUUUGGCUGCAAAAUGCAACCAUUUCCUAAAAAAUGACCCAAAUACUCAAAGCUGUCUUUUCACAGUCUGUCAUUUCUGCCAAACUGCCUCGGAAAGCAAAUAAAGGCCUUUAAUGGAACAAGAAAGAGGAGAGAAAAAAAAAAAACCUUUAAAAAUGAAACAAGAUUUGAGUGCCCUUUAAAUGCAUUCAAAUAUACCCCCUCUGCACAGCAAUCUCAAACCUGUGCUUCUUUAUAACCUACAGACGCUCAGACUUAUUUAAGAGAAACACUUUUGAUUACAGUCACAUUUAGUUUAGGUUA